rnacentral:rRNA from 1 species
AACUUUGAUAGGUCACAGGUGUAAGCACAGCAAUGUGUUCAGCCGAGUGAUACUAAUAUGUCGAUUGCCUUAUUUUUUAUU